rnacentral:lncRNA from 1 species
GGUAGUGAAGAAAUCAGUUGUGAGAUUGAAGGCUUUUGUGAUGUCGAAGCAAGUGUCGCCAGCUACUGCUCCGUACACAUCCGUACAGAUUAGAAUUGGUUUUGGCUUGCUAUGAUGAGCUGCAAAUUAAAUUCCAACAAAUAUUAGUUUUUAUACUCAUAGUAACUUGAUAUUAAUUUAUAUUUAUAGGAGUUAAAACUUGGAUCUCUUGAGAAAUGAAAUUUUGAGAAUUUUGAGGGUUUUCCAUGCUUAUGUGAUUACUUAACUUUAAUGUUAACUAUAAUGUGCAAAAAGUUGGGAAAAAAUGAUCAAAUGAUUAUUUAAAUAACUAAUUAGAUCGACUAGCAUUUUGAGAAGCAAAAUAAUCAAUAACAUCUUUAAGAUCAAGUUUUUCCAUGCCAAUACCAUAUUUUCAAUAUGCCUGAAAUUUCAAGCUCAUUUAACAUUUCUUGACACAUAGUAGAAUUUACACAAAUAUAAUAGUUCACUUGUAGUGACAUAUUUUAAUAAUGGCGUGUCGCAAAAUUUACUACUCCGUACAUCUUUAAGUGUAACAAAGUUCAGCUACAUUCAUAUAUGCAUGGAUUUAUAUACUUUUCUUACAUAUUAAAAUAUAAGUAAAUUUAUUACAUUUAAAAAUUAAUGUAACAAAGUUCAUGACAUCUAUUCAUGUGAAAGAACUACUAUCAUAUUUUCUUAUACACCAUCCGUCCCAAAAAAACAUGUGAAAUCUGUCAUUUUGGUAUGUCCUGCCAAACAAAAUGGGACCAUUUCUUUAUUCACAACACACUCACCUAAUAUUUUUAAAAAUUCGUACCAUCCUGCAUAUUUUUAGGAGAUGACGGGAGUAAUAUAUGAAUUGAACUGUGGCUUAUAAACUUACCAUGCGAGCCCAAAAAUAUGUAAACUGUACACACAUAUACUUAAUAAAAGUUAAUAUUAGUGUCUCAAAACUUUUGGAUGGGUAAAUUGAAGAGAAUGUAUUAAUUAGUUAAAAUGAUAGGUUCCACACUUGUUUAAAAGUUAAUUGUUUGUCACUUUUAAUGGGAUAAUAACCAAAGUGAAAAGAAGGACACUAUAAUUUAAAUCAAGUAAACUUUUAAAAAAUGUAAAAGAAUCUUACAUUUGGGAAGCACUCGACUUUCGGCAACAUGCACUAAAAGAAGUGCAAGAAGAAGAGCUGCAAUACUAAGAAAAGCCAUUGUCUUACUGUAAUUGGCCAUUUGAUCUUAGCUUAAAAAUGUGAGAUUAUUGUGUUAAAAUUA